CCAUUUUAGACCAAAAAAAAAAAUAAAUAAAUAAAUUUCCGCCUAAAAACUCAGAAAUUUGGAGAUUAAUUUCACAUAUUUUCCAGAAAAAAAUCGGAAAUUUUCUAAUUUUGAAAAGUCACAAAUCUCUUCCUAAAAACUCAGAAGUUUUGAGAUUAAUUUCACAAAUUUUCAAGGGAAAACUCGGAAAAUUUCGGUCGUUCAUAGGUCGCACAUUUGUGGGGAAAUAAAUCAAAUAUUUUCAUGAUUAAAGGCAGAUAUUUUUAACAUUUAAAGUAGGAUAUUUUCCGACAUUGUUAAUUCAGAAAUUUGCAAGAACAAAACUCUGCAAUUUAUUAGAAAAAAACUCUGAAAUUUGCUGAUAUUUUAAAAGCAGAUAUUUCUGACAAAUGAUGCCUGAAGUCCUCUGAGAUUGAAGUAGCAAAUUAACGAGAUGCGCUUCUAGACGUUUCCCAAAGUCUGCGGUCGCUACAUGCGCUCUCUCUUCCUUGAUGAGGUUGACUUCUCUCGGGUGCAGAAUUGACAUUAUCCGCCUCGGACUUAUCAUCGUUUGUGAGGAAGAACCUUCCACAUGGCUGCAUCAAAAACGCGCGGAGUGACCACUGUGUCCGAAUUUCUUCGUGAGCGCAGAGUUCCAGAAGAAGUCAUCAACCGUUUGGAAGAGGAAAAGACCUGGAUCUGAAAUGACGCCCAUGACGGAUGAUCUAAUUAAAUUAUACUUCUCCAUUGGAUUUAGUAACAAGGAGAUACUAAUGUUAUUGGCACAGAAUCACAGAAUAGUGCUAAGUAUCCGGACGUUAAAGAGACAUUGCCGUGAACUGGGACUGUUCAGAAGAAAACACCAUUCAGAUCUGAAUGACGUAAAAGCUUUUCUGCAGCAGGAACUACAGCAUGAUGGACAGAUGCAAGGAUAUCGCUGGUUGCAUCUUCGGGCAGUUCAGAAUGGACUUGUGGUACAGCAGGACACAAUACGACAGAUCAUCAAGUUCCUUGAUCCUGAGGGUGUGGAACUUAGAAGAACUCGUCGUCUUAGAAGGCGGCAGUACAACACUAAAGGCCCAAACGCUCUUUGGCACAUGGACUCUUAUGAUAAAUUGAAACCCUAUGGUAUUGGGAUUAAUGGAUGCAUUGAUGGCUUCAGCCGUUUUGUUUUAUGGAUGGAAGCUUACACAACAAACAAUGACCCAAAAGUUGUAGCCAACUAUUUUAUAGAAUGUGUCACACGUUUGGGUGGGUGUCCAGAGAGGAUCCGGGCAGACAAUGGAACUGAAAAUGGA